UACGUAGGGCGCAAGCGUUGUCCGGAAUUAUUGGGCGUAAAGAGCUCGUAGGCGGUCUGUUACGUCUGCUGUGAAACCCGGGGACUUAACCCGUGGCUUGCAGUGGAUACGGGCAGACUAGAGGCAGGUAGGGGAGAAUGGAAUUCCCGGUGUAGCGGUGAAAUGCGCAGAUAUCGGGAGGAACACCGGUGGCGAAGGCGGUUCUCUGGGCCGUGACCUGACGCUGAGGAGCGAAAGCGUGGGGAGCGAACAGG
rnacentral:rRNA from 1 species